GACGAACGCUGGCGGCGUGCUUAACACAUGCAAGUCGAACGGAAAGGCCCUGCUUGCAGGGUACUCGAGUGGCGAACGGGUGAGUAACACGUGGGUGAUCUGCCCUGCACUUCGGGAUAAGCCUGGGAAACUGGGUCUAAUACCGGAUAGGAGCCAUUUUUAGUGUGAUGGUUGGAAAGUUUUUUCGGUGUAGGAUGAGCUCGCGGCCUAUCAGCUUGUUGGUGGGGUAAUGGCCUACCAAGGCGGCGACGGGUAGCCGGCCUGAGAGGGUGGACGGCCACAUUGGGACUGAGAUACGGCCCAGACUCCUACGGGAGGCAGCAGUGGGGAAUAUUGCACAAUGGGCGCAAGCCUGAUGCAGCGACGCCGCGUGGGGGAUGACGGCCUUCGGGUUGUAAACUCCUUUCGCUAGGGACGAAGCGUUUGUGACGGUACCUAGAUAAGAAGCACCGGCUAACUACGUG
rnacentral:rRNA from 1 species